UAGUGUAGACUGCUACGUGCGAAACGUACGAAGUACAGAACCAAGCAAGCAAACAAGGCAACAUUCACGGCGAACAGAGGGAGGGGCACGUACCAACAGGAUGACCUUGGGGAAGCGCUGCCGCACCGCGCUGCAAAGAGAAGACAAGAGAGAGACAGGGCGGAGCAGGGCCCCGCCACCGCGCACACGCGCCGCAGCACAGUCAGCCACAAGUCCUCCCAACCCGGCCUGCCACCGCAGCGGCCGGAGACGUGCCUGCCAAGACAAGAGACUCGCGGCACACAAGAGCCCCUCGACGAGCAGAGACUCGGCGGUGGUCAAUACAGGAAGGGCCAAACACAAGCGAGCUUUUACGGAACACGAGAGGGGUCUGCCCUCUAAUACGUGAUGCGCUGCAUGUAGCUUCCAUCUAUCUGAGAUUUGGAGCUUUUGUUAUCGUUUUUUUGCUGUUUUCUACAACUGCUUUUAACACAUCUGUUCACUGCCUCCCUGAAAUAAGCGAUUAUCUAUAGACCCAUCCCACAACUCCAAAAUGACUUCCUAGGUGCUUAAUAAUAACGAUGAAACCUCAUUAUACAUGAAAAUACGUUCAUCAAAUCCGACAUUCAUUACAAGUGUGCACACUGAUAGCGGUAGAGGAAAGAAAUUCUGCCAGAAAACUUGUGCCUAGAGCUGUCUGCCAACUACCUCUCACUGCGUGUGAGCCAGAAGGUGCGCUUAUUUUCUUGACAAUUUAAAAAUUAAUAAGGUACAGAGUUUAAUGAGCUGAAACAACACAUUUCAUUGAGGGACACCGUAGUAAGGGGGCUUCUUUAUGGUUCACCUAAAUUUUGGUACGAAAGCGUUGUUGCGCAUUUCGCCCCCAUUGGAACUUGGCCGCGGCAGCCAGACAUCAAAUUCACCGACGUCCUGCUCAGCAGAAGAACUCAACUGCAGAGCCGCUGCGUGGUGCGUACUGACAAUUUUGAUUCACCAUCAUUAACAUGACCCACUAAAACCACCCCGAAUGUGCACCUGAUUCUGGCAUGCAAAAAUCAGUGACCGAUUGCCAGCUAUAAAAUCACGACGAUCCACCGUUAUAAGUCCAAACUCCCCACAAAACCUUUCACUCUCUUAUAUGUUGCACAUGGCCACUGCCAUUAAAUGCGACGGGUCUCCGUCGUAGCAGAACUGAGCCGUCAAAAGCAAGCAUAAAGAACCUAGAAGCAAGCUUUCCAGGAUUGCUUGGUGGUAGCUCCGAACAAGAGUUCUCAGAGCAUGUUUAGCUGCAGCAAUUUUGGCAGUCCUUGCCGAGCAUGCAACCGCGGGCAGCAAUUGCACGGAAACGCAGGGGCCGGCCGGGGCUCUGAUCACGGUAGUAGCGCGGUGCAAGUCACUGCGCACAAAUAGCCAGGGAAGGCUU
rnacentral:lncRNA from 1 species